rnacentral:rRNA from 1 species
UACGUAGGGUGCAAGCGUUAAUCGGAAUUACUGGGCGUAAAGCGUGCGCAGGCGGUUUUGUAAGACAGAUGUGAAAUGCCCGGGCUUAACCUGGGAACUGCAUUCGAGACUGCAUUGCUAGAGUAUGGGAGAGGGAAGUGGAAUUUCAGGUGUAGCGGUGAAAUGCGUAGAUAUCUGAAGGAACAUCAGUGGCGAAAGCGACUUCCUGGACCAAUACUGACGCUCAUGUGCGAAAGCGUGGGGAGCAAACAGG